AUUGAACGCUGGCGGCAUGCCUUACACAUGCAAGUCGAACGGCAGCACGGGGGCAACCCUGGUGGCGAGUGGCGAACGGGUGAGUAAUACAUCGGAACGUGUCCUGUAGUGGGGGAUAGCCCGGCGAAAGCCGGAUUAAUACCGCAUACGAUCUACGGAGGAAAGCGGGGGAUCUUCGGACCUCGCGCUGCAGGGGCGGCCGAUGGCAGAUUAGCUAGUUGGUGGGGUAAAGGCCUACCAAGGCGACGAUCUGUAGCUGGUCUGAGAGGACGACCAGCCACACGGGGAAUGAGACAAGGCCCAGACUCCUACGGGAGGCAGCAGUGGGGAAUUUUGGACAAUGGGGCAACCCUGAGCCAGCAAUGCCGCGUGUGUGAAGAAGGCCUUCGGGUUGUAAAGCACUUUUGUCCGGAAAGAAAACGUCUUGGUUAAUACCUGAGGCGGAUGACGGUACCGGAAGAAUAAGGACCGGCUAACUACGUGCCAGCAGCCGCCGCAG
rnacentral:rRNA from 1 species